rnacentral:lncRNA from 1 species
GAAGAUCCAGGGGUUAUGACAAUUGAUAUUCAUGGGACUUUAUGGAUACAUAGCAAGGAACUGAACAGAGCAACGCUCAGUCAUGUGAAAUUCUCUGGUAUCUGACGAAAAGCUUUAUAAAUACUGACAACAAAGUUAAACGUAUAAUUCAAACAUGAACAUUCAUAAAAAUUCUGCUUUUUAAAAUAGAGGCGAGUGCAACUGUAAAUGAAUUUAAGAAGGC